UACGUAGGGUGCAAGCGUUGUCCGGAAUUAUUGGGCGUAAAGAGCUCGUAGGCGGUCUGUCACGUCGGCUGUGAAAUCCCGAGGCUCAACCUCGGGUCUGCAGUCGAUACGGGCAAACUAGAGUAUUGCAGGGGAGACUGGAAUUCCUGGUGUAGCGGUGAAAUGCGUAGAUAUCAGGAGGAACACCUGUGGUGUAGACAGCUUACUGGACCAUUUCUGACGCUGAGACACGAAAGCGUGGGGAGCAAACAGG
rnacentral:rRNA from 1 species